rnacentral:rRNA from 1 species
CGAAAGCCUGACGGAGCAACGCCGCGUGUGGGAAGAAGGCCUUUGGGCUGUCAACCACUUUUCUCAGGGAAGAAGCUCUGACGGUACCUGAGGAAUCAGCCUCGGCUAACUCCGUGCCAGCAGCCGCGGUAAUACGGAGGAGGCAAGCGUUAUUCGGAAUUAUUGGGCGUAAAGCGUCCGCAGGGGGCUCAUCAAGUCUGCUGUCAAAGGUCGGAGCUCAACUCCGGUUCGGCAGUGGAAACUGGUGGGCUAGAGGGCGACAGGGGUAGAGGGAAUUCCCAGUGUAGCGGUGAAAUGCGUAGAGAUUGGGAAGAACACCGGUGGCGAAAGCGCUCUACUGGGUCGCACCUGACCCUCAGGGACGAAAGCUAAGGUAGCG